rnacentral:piRNA from 1 species
UGCUAAUGCUUGGAUGCUUGAAGGCUCAAC